CGUGGUGAAGCUCCGCGGUAGAGCGCCCGGCUCGGGACCGGGUGACGCAGGUUCGAGCCCUGCCGCCACGA
rnacentral:tRNA from 1 species